UCCCUAUAUAUUCCUCAUGUACUGAGGUUGCCCAGCUCCACCAGGGCCGGCUAUCCACAGGAACCUUUCACAACAGCCAUUACCAGCAGGGCAACAAGGAAUCAAAUGAGAGCAAAACAAGCGGAGAACAGAGUCCUGGUUGCCAGACCGGCUCGGAUGAAAACACAGUGAGAUGAGUCAGAAAAUGGCCAAGGAGGGCCCCAGGCUCUCCAAGAACCAGAAGUUCUCCGAGCACUUCAGCAUCCACUGUUGCCCACCCUUCACCUUCCUCAACUCCAAGCGUGAGAUCGUGGACCGCAAGUACAGCAUCUGCAAGAGCGGUUGCUUUUACCAGAAGAAGGAGGAGGACUGGAUCUGCUGUGCCUGCCAGAAGACCAGAUUGAGAAGGAGGAGCAGGUCAACUCCAAGAAAGAAGUGACCUAGAAGGGAUUUUGCGUGAAUGGACAGCCUCUGCCUGUGGACUUACUGCUUCCCCACAACCCAUCUGCCCUCCGAUGAAUUAUCUGACCUCAAGUAUGAUGCAGGAGCGGACGCCUGCUGAUGUAACAACCACAGAUGCCCACAGUCCCCAUGGUGUGGGAGCCUUAGGGCAGCCUGCCUGGAGCACUCGGACGAUGCCAUUCCAUCAUCUUCCUCUAUAACUGCCAACGAGACAUCUCCGUCAACCGUCUCGAGCCUCCACCGAUUCGGGUUUUCCAGUCUGAAGAUUCUUGUGUCUACUGGGAUGUGCAAAACAAGGUCACGGUGCACAACCGUGCAAACGGCAAAUAUAAAAAAGAAAUUGUCAAGGGUUGGCAGUGACGUGAGAAAAAUCCUCGCAGCUACCAGUGGGAGUUUAUACCUUGUCAUGACACCACUGAGCUGUACUCUGGGGACACUGUCAAGGCAAAGUAUCUUAAAACCUCUAAUCAAGUGACUGCAAUUUUAGGAAUCCAUCCCGGAGAAAACGCACACCCUUUUAGAGAAGGAGAAAUGCACACGUUUGUCUAAAAGAUCGUGGUUUGUAGUUAAGAGAGGUGGAAUGAAACUAGCCAAAAAUGCCUGUCCACAGGGAAUGAGAGAAUCAAUUUUGGGAUGUUCACAAAGUCCUAACAGCAGUUAAAAGCCAAUCUGUCAGAUAGACCAUGUCACGCAGGUAAAUCUAGAAAGCAAACUGAGAACUAUAAAAAUCAAGUAUUGGGCAGUAAAUCCAGUAUAACAUCCUGUGCAUAAAUAUUGACAUCCCACAACCCUGUAUUCGUUAUUGCUUAAUAAGGAGAAGCCACAAGAUCUCAUACUUUUUCUAUAAUGCAAUAGAAUUUAAAAAUGACAGCAGAGCACAAAGACACUAGAAAUUGUCCUGUCAGAAAUAAAAGUAUAAGAAAUAAUUCCUGGCUUGAGGAAAUAACCCAGACUAAAAGCUACAUAGAAACGGCCUAACAGUACUGGCAGGGCAUAUAUUUGUUUGGAGAGGGUCAAUGUGAAGUCUGUGAACAGUGUGGGAUGUUUACAAGGUUGCAUAAAUUUUAAACACCAAAAAUAUUUGUUUUGAAUCAAUUUUGGGUCUGGGCUACAGAGUCCGGCUUGUGAUGGUUCCUGACACGAGAGAAAAGAGAAUAAAUUGAAAUACAGCUCUCGAAUUUUCCUUUAAGGACCAGGUAGGUAGGAAAGGUCAACAGAAUGUUGGGGAAUGUGGAGGGAUGUAAAACAGAUAGUGUUACGGUGGGGAAAACUCGUGUAGGGACGAUAAGAACAUCAGAAUGGCCUUGUGCUGGGAGCCAGGGUGGCCAAGCACAGUCGGAUACUUGAAGACCUCAAAGGCUACCAUUGCGUCCUCACAGACAGACCCGGCAAAGUUCAGAUCAAGUGCACGGAUGGGGGUCAUGUCAGUGGAAAUUGUCCAAGGCGUGAAGUGGGGGUGAGGAAGACAGCCAGGAGGAAGACAUGGCUCAGAGUGCUGCACUACAGCAAAGAAGAAGCAGGCCAAAUAUCGUCCUAAGGCAGCCGAGGGGGGCCGGCUUCCUCUCCCGAGGACACUGUGGCUCUGUGGAAGUGCCGAGGCAGAGGCAGGGGAAUUUAACUGCACAAAAACUACACGCAGAAACUCAGGUGCUAAAUGAACAUAUACGUGACCACCUUUCUGAGGACCAUGUUCCAGUGAGCUGCCCAGGGCCAUUACCUUCUCGACGGUAACUGAGCUGAGAAGAAUGGAACGGCAUAGGAGCACACAGUAGCCCACUGGUGAGACAAAGUUCCAGGCUAGCCUCAUCUAAUCUAUUAAGGAGACUCUAUGCUUUGUCAUCUUGUUUUCAUUUUGGCAAAGUAAAGCUCAUCCUGAGUGCUCGCUUGUCUCCGUCCUCCACGCCACCCCUGAAACACAGAGCAUGCGCAUUAACCCAGAGCGUGCUAACCCAUGCACAGCGUUGGACAUUAGCUCAUUAAUGUGAAUAACCAGAAACUACUAAAUUUUGUUUGUUGUAGAAAUAAAACCUGGGGAUGGAUCAAACCUAUCUGGAGAUUGCUUGAAGAUGAUGGGUCACUAAGCAAAAUGUGCCUUGGGAUUCGUCACCGAGUCGCGUUGUAAUCAUUACGUACUGUUUAUCCACUUAACAUUGGCUCUCAGGAACAUUCCCCAGUAAAUACUGGAGAAAUUUCAUAAAACUCCAAAAGCUGUUCUUCAUAAAUUUCUUGAGUAGCAAUUCAAAGCCACAAUGUCUCACAUUAUUCU